rnacentral:rRNA from 1 species
AGAGUUUGAUCCUGGCUCAGGAUGAACGCUGGCGGCGUGGAUAAGGCAUGCAAGUCGAACGGCCCGCAAGGGCAGUGGCGAACGAGGUAGUAACACGUAGGUACAAACCCCAAAGUCAGGAAUAACCCACCGAAAGGUGGGCUAAUACUUGAUAGUCUCUUCGGAGUAAAGAUUUAUCGCUUUGGGAUUGGCCUGCGCAGUAUCAGCUAGUUGGUAGGGUAAAAGCCUACCAAGGCAAUGACGCUUAGGGGAGGUGAGAGCCUGACCCCCACCGAUGGUACUGAGACACGGACCAUACACCUACGGGUGGCUGCAGUCGAGAAUCUUCCACAAUGGACGAAAGUCUGAUGGAGCGACGCCGCGUGACUGAAGAAGUCUUUCGGGAUGUAAAGGUCUUUUAUGAAGGAGAAAAUUUUGAUAGUACUUCAUGAAUAAGGGGUUGCUAAACUCGUGCCAGCAGCCGCGGUAA